rnacentral:rRNA from 1 species
UACGGAGGGUGCAAGCGUUAUCCGGAAUUAUUGGGCGUAAAGCGUCCGUAGGCGGUUUCAAAAGUCUGUUGUUAAAGCCCGCAGCUCAACUGUGGAUCGGCAAUGGAAACUGUGAGACUAGAGAGUGGUAGGGGUAGAGGGAAUUCCUAGUGUAGCGGUGAAAUGCGUAGAUAUUAGGAAUACCAAUGGCGAAGGCAGCCCCCUGGGAUAAUAUUGACGCUCAUGCACGAAAGCGUGGGGAGCAAACAGG